UAUUUUUAUAAUUACACUUAUUGUUACAAAUUUUUCAAUUUUAAAUGUAUUUAUUUUGAUUUCGAAGUGUUUGGUGUUAAUAAUGAAUUGACAAUAGUGGUUAUAAUAUUGAAAUGCGUGAAAUUGAAAAUGAUAAAAUAUUGAGAACCGUAAUUAUCACUGAAAUAUUUGAUAGUCAAAUUGGUUAAAAUAUAAAUGAUAAAUUAGAUAUAAAAUUACCAAAACAUCAAAGAUGUGCAGCGCACACAUUGAAUUUAAUUGUUGAUAUUCAAAACAGUUGAUAUUCUAGAAACAGAAAAAGAUGGUUCAUUUAAAGUACUUAGUAGAUGUGUGUUUGCUAAAUGUUUGUCUAUUUUCAAUAAGCAGAAUCAAUGGACACAGUGUGCUGAUAAAAUUAAAAAAAUUCUGGAAAAAUAUAACACAAAACGCUACCAGGCAAGUUAAUAUUAUUUAAAUUUUAAUACUUUAAAAUUGAAUAUCAUGUAUUAUGACUUAUAAGUGUUUCAUUAUUAAUAAUAAAAUAAAUGAUUUUAUACUUCAAUUUUCAGAUGGAAUUCGUUCUACAAUGCCAUAAAAUGUAUUGUUAACAAUAUAGAUAAAAUAGAUACAAUAUUCACAGCAUUUCAAUUAACUCCUUUCUCAGGUUAAAGAAAGUCUUAAAUUUUAAUCGAAUACUGCAAGGUAAUACAUUAUUAAUUAUCAGAAUGAUAGGUAUAAUGAAAGAAAUAUAAUAAAUUAUUUAUUUAUAAUAUUAUAAUAAAUUUAUAAUAAAUUUACUAAAGAAAAAAAAUUGAAAUUAAUUUGUCACUACUCUGGGUAGAAGGAAUUGAGAAGGAAAUUAAAUUUUUCUUCAUGAAAAAUUAAUGGUUGUAUGAUACUUAUUAUUUUGUUAUCUUAAGUGAUGAAACUAAUUGCAACAGGGUUAGAUGUUUUACAAGGUGAACAACAUGUGUGUAUUGGAUAUCUAUUACCAACAAUUACAGCUAUAAACAAAGCGUUAAAUGAAUUUAAUAAUUUAAAUUUCUGUAGACCAUUGAUUUAUGCUUUAAAAAAUGAAUUAACCAAAAGGUACUUUUAUACAUUUUUUAAAUUUUUAUAAUAAUCAUUAGAAUUCAAUUAAAAAAUCAUAUAUUUACGCCAAUGCUAUUCAUAAAAAUUAAAACUUAUUUAUUUAGUUAAAAUGGUACAAAAACAUUUUACCGAACAAUUUAUAUUAUUAUUACCCUAUGUCGCCCAUAUAUCUGUAUAUUUUAAAAUUUAUAAAUAAUAAUGCACUUGUAAUAUUUAACAAUUCUUAAGUUUUAUGAAUUAUAUCAUUAUACAUUAUACAUUAUUGUUACAUGUUACAUUAAAUGUACAUUAUAUUUUCAGGUUUAAAAAUUGCAUGCAGUCAAAAAUACUACAAGUUUCUUCCACAUUGGUACCAAAAUAUAAUUAAUUUGAACUAAUCCCGAAGACAGAAAUAUCAUAAAACAACAUGUUAUUGAUUGUGUGCAUUUUCAUUUUGAUCAAAACAAAAAUCUUCUCUAAGUUCUUCAAAUUUUGAAACAAACAGUGAAGAUGAAGAUGAUUUUUUCAAUUUUCCAAUGAUGAAAUCUCCAUACUUCAUUCUGAUUUCCUAACUUUAAUUACUAAUUAUUUAUCAAAUACUAACAUUAAGGUACCACUUGACUUAACACUUGAAUUAAAAAAGGUUAUAUAGAAUUUAAAACAAUUAUACCAUCAUCUGCACCUGUAGAGAGAUUGUUUAGUGCUGGUGGUCAAUUAUUUAACAAAAGGAGAGAAUCCAUUUCUGAU
rnacentral:lncRNA from 1 species